CAAACGCUGGCGGCGUGCCUAACACAUGCAAGUCGUACGAGAAAGUCGGCUUCGGCCGAUGAGUACAGUGGCGCACGGGUGAGUAACGCGUGGGUAAUCUGCCCCCCGGUCAGGAAUAACCCGCCGAAAGGCGGGCUAAUACCCGAUAACACUGACGCUCUGCGGAGUGUCUUUCAAAGAAGGCCUCUGUUUACAAGCUUUCACCGGAGGAUGAGCCCGCGUACCAUUAGCUAGUUGGCAGGGUAAUGGCCUACCAAGGCAACGAUGGUUAGCUGGUCUGAGAGGAUGGCCAGCCACACUGGAACUGAGACACGGUCCAGACUCCUACGGGAGGCAGCAGUGAGGAAUCUUGCGCAAUGGGGGAAACCCUGACGCAGCAACGCCGCGUGAGUGAGGAAGGCCUUUCGGGUCGUAAAGCUCUGUCAGAUGGGAAGAAAUGGUUGGAAGUUAAUACCUUCCAUCCUUGACGGUACCAUCAGAGGAAGCACCGGCUAACUCCGUGCCAGCAGCUGC
rnacentral:rRNA from 1 species